UAUGGUAAUUGUGUGCCGCGGUAAUACGGAAGGUCCGGGCGUUAUCCGGAUUUAUUGGGUUUAAAGGGAGCGUAGGCCGGAGAUUAAGCGUGUUGUGAAAUGUAGAUGCUCAACAUCUGCACUGCAGCGCGAACUGGUUUCCUUGAGUACGCACAAAGUGGGCGGAAUUCGUGGUGUAGCGGUGAAAUGCUUAGAUAUCACGAAGAACUCCGAUUGCGAAGGCAGCUCACUGGAGCGCAACUGACGCUGAAGCUCGAAAGUGCGGGUAUCGAACAGG
rnacentral:rRNA from 1 species